rnacentral:rRNA from 1 species
UUAUGGCUCAGGACGAACGCUGGCGGCGUGCCUAAUACAUGCAAGUCGAACGGGGUAACGGGCUUCGGCCUGUACUUAGUGGCGAACGGGUGAGUAACGCGUGAGCAACCUGACUCAAAGAGGGGGACAACAGCUGGAAACGGCUGCUAAUACCGCAUAAGACCACAGAGCGGCAUCGCUAAGGGGUCAAAGAUUUAUCGCUUUGAGAGGGGCUCGCGUCCCAUUAGAUAGUUGGUGAGGUAACGGCCCACCAAGUCCGCGAUGGGUAGCCGAGCUGAGAGGCUGAUCGGCCACACUGGAACUGAGACACGGUCCAGACUCCUACGGGAGGCAGCAGUAGGGAAUAUUGGGCAAUGGGCGCAAGCCUGACCCAGCAACGCCGCGUGAGGGAAGAAGGUUUUCGGAUUGUAAACCUCUGUCCUAUGUGACGAAGGAAGUGACGGUAGCAUAGGAGGAAGCCCCGGCUAACUACGUGCCAGCAGCCGC